AUUGAACGCUGGCGGCAGGCCUAACACAUGCAAGUCGAACGGUAACAGGAAGCAGCUUGCUGCUUCGCUGACGAGUGGCGGACGGGUGAGUAAUGUCUGGGAAGCUGCCUGAUGGAGGGGGAUAACUACUGGAAACGGUAGCUAAUACCGCAUAAUGUCGCAAGACCAAAGAGGGGGACCUUCGGGCCUCUUGCCAUCGGAUGUGCCCAGAUGGGAUUAGCUUGUUGGUGGGGUGACGGCUCACCAAGGCGACGAUCCCUAGCUGGCCUGAGAGGAUGACCAGCCACACUGGGACUGAGACACGGUCCAGACUCCUACGGGAGGCAGCAGUGGGGAAUAUUGCACAAUGGGCGCAAGCCUGAUGCAGCCAUGCCGCGUGUAUGAAGAAGGCCUUCGGGUUGUAAAGUACUUUCAGCGGGGAGGAAGGGAGUAAAGUUAAUACCUUUGCUCAUUGACGUUACCCGCAGAAGAAGCACCGGCUAACUCCGUG
rnacentral:rRNA from 1 species